rnacentral:rRNA from 1 species
UACGAAGGGGGCUAGCGUUGCUCGGAAUUACUGGGCGUAAAGCGCACGUAGGCGGCUCUUUAAGUCGGAGGUGAAAUCCUGGAGCUCAACUCCAGAACUGCCUUCGAUACUGAAGAGCUCGAGUCCGGGAGAGGUGAGUGGAACUGCGAGUGUAGAGGUGAAAUUCGUAGAUAUUCGCAAGAACACCAGUGGCGAAGGCGGUUCACUGGCCCGGUACUGACGCUGAGGUGCGAAAGCGUGGGGAGCAAACAGG